rnacentral:tRNA from 1 species
GGGUGGUGUAGUGGUUAAUCACCCUGACUGCCGAAGGUCCCGGGUUCGAUUCCCGGCUGAUACC